rnacentral:tRNA from 1 species
AGUUUUAUAGUAUAAUCAUUACAUUAUCUUUUCAUGAUAAAAAUAGAAUCCUCUUAAAACUU